GUUUAAUGUCUUCUAGUCGUGCAGCCUUGAUGGGAGGAUUGUGUUUGAUUUUUGCAGUUCCUUUUCUUCUUAGUAACAAACAAAGUAACAAUGGUGUUUUGCGACUUUCAUCGAUCAACUCAAUAGAGCCUACUCUCAA
rnacentral:RNase_MRP_RNA from 1 species